CACGUAGGGCGCAAGCGUUGUCCGGAAUUAUUGGGCGUAAAGAGCUCGUAGGCGGUCUGUUACGUCUGCUGUGAAAACCCGGGGCUUAACCCUGGGCUUGCAGUGGAUACGGGCAGACUAGAGGCAGGUAGGGGAGAAUGGAAUUCCCGGUGUAGCGGUGAAAUGCGCAGAUAUCGGGAGGAACACCGGUGGCGAAGGCGGUUCUCUGGGACGGUACUGACGCUGAGACGCGAAGGCGUGGGGAGCGAACAGG
rnacentral:rRNA from 1 species